rnacentral:lncRNA from 1 species
UCCUAACAUAUCAAAAGCAUAUCCUAUACUUGCAAAUUCAGACAAGUUCGUACUCCUUUUCCUUGUUACAUUCUCUCUCACAUUCUUCUUUGGUUUUCCUUUCUUCGUUUUUGCUCCUUUCUUCAUCUCCUUUUUCUCCUCUUUACUUGACUUAUUCUUAUUUUCUGCUUUCUGGUUAAUCCAGCUGGCUUGAUAAGGUGUCAAAACAGACACAAUAGGUUGACAUGUUAUUAAGCAUUGUUCCAACUUGAAAGGCAGUUUUCCUUAAUCCGACUCGGCACUCCCAGAUGUGUUGCACAUAUAUUACACCUGAACCAUAUUUGUC